rnacentral:rRNA from 1 species
UGCCAGCCGCCGCGGUAAUACGGGAGUGGCAAGCGUUAUCCGGAAUUAUUGGGCGUAAAGCGCAUGUAGGCUGGUUUGUAAGUUGGAAGUGAAAUCCUAUGGCUUAACCAUAGAACUGCUUCCAAAACUGCAGACCUAGAGUAUGGGAGAGGUAGAUGGAAUUUCUGGUGUAGGGGUAAAAUCCGUAGAGAUCAGAAGGAAUACCGAUUGCGAAGGCGAUCUACUGGAACAUAACUGGCGCUGAGAUGCGAAAGCGUGGGGAGCAAACAGGAUUAGAUA